rnacentral:rRNA from 1 species
GACAGAGGAUGCAAGCGUUAUCCGGAAUGAUUGGGCGUAAAGCGUCUGUAGGUGGCUUUUUAAGUCUGCCGUCAAAUCCCAGGGCUUAACCCUGGACAGGCGGUGGAAACUACCAAGCUGGAGUACGGUAGGGGCAGAGGGAAUUUCCGGUGUAGCGGUGAAAUGCGUAGAUAUCGGAAGGAACAUCAGUGGCGAAAGCGACUUCCUGGACCAAUACUGACGCUCAUGUGCGAAAGCGUGGGGAGCAAACAGG